AGCGAACGUUUGCGGCGGGCCUAACACAUGCAAGUCGAACGAGAAAACCUUCGGGUGAGUACAGUGGCGCACGGGUGAGGAACGCGUAGGUAAUCCACCCUCUGGCGGGGGACAACACUCCGAAAGGAAUGCUAAUACCGCGUAAGACCACACUCACUCCGGUGAGAGUGGUAAAAGGUGCCUCAAAGCACCACCAGAGGACGAGCCUGCGUCCCAUCAGCUUGUUGGUAAGGUAAUGGCUUACCAAGGCUAAGACGGGUAGCUGGUCUGAGAGGAUGAUCAGCCACACUGGCACUGGAACACGGGCCAGACUCCUACGGGAGGCAGCAGUGAGGAAUAUUGGGCAAUGGGCGAAAGCCUGACCCAGCCACGCCGCGUGUGUGAUGAAGGCCUUCGGGUCGUAAAGCACUGUGGGGAGAGACGAACCUGCGCAUGAGGAAAUGCAUGCGCACUGACGGUUCCUCCUUAGCAAGCACCGGCUAACUCUGUGCCAGCAGCCGCGGUAAUACAGAGGGUGCGAACGUUGCUCGGAUUUACUGGGCGUAAAGCGCGUGUAGGCGGGCAAGCAAGUCGGUUGUGAAAUCCCUGGGCUCAACCUAGGAACUGCAUCCGAAACUG
rnacentral:rRNA from 1 species